GUUUUAAACUUGAUUUGUAAACAUCUUUUUAAAGUCGCUGUAGAAGACUGUUGUUACUGAUGAUGUUUUUAUUUAAAUGCAACUGGAAUGAAUCAUCUGAACCCUGACUCGAGUGUGUGACGGUCAGGCAGCUGACACUGAUGUGUGUGUGUGUGUGUGUGUGUGUGUCUCAGCCUCGCUCCUCCGACUCUCCUCUGACUCUCGGCUUUCAGCCUCCUGCUGACGAUGAACAAUAAAAAACUGUUUCUGUUGGUACUGAGAGUCGUGUGAACGCUGCUGGAUUGUGAUGGAGGCUCGCAGGAAUAAUAAACUCCAUUUAAAGGUACAGUGUGAAGCAUUUCAAGAUUAAAAUGUCUUUGUGUUUCAUUUCCUGUUGCAGGAAGGGAGGAAGUUGUCACUGAACCUAACAGUUUAACUGGAAAACGUGACUCCUGAAACUGACAUGAAAUCAUCCCUUUGAGAGACGACAUCUCACUCUGUUGGAAGAACAGAAACCCCAACAGGCUUGAACCGUCCACCUUCCUGCUCUCCAGAGGAUGAACACUGUGGAGUUCUCCUCUAGCGCCACCUUCAGGACAAACUGGAGCUCCACUCACUGCUGACUGUUGGUGUCUAACUCUGUGAAGGUGGAGCUCUGUCAACACCAGCUGCAGUCUAAAGCAGAUCACGUAUGUGAAGCUGCCACAGAGGACGCGGACACAAGGGGGACACGUGUCCCCAGGUCUUCGUGUGUGGCGUGCCGCACCUUUAAACAGCGGAGCGAUGUUCCAGACGUUGAUGCUGCCG